rnacentral:rRNA from 1 species
UACGUAGGGGGCAAGCGUUGUCCGGAUUUAUUGGGCGUAAAGAGCGUGUAGGCGGCUUGACAGGUCUGCUGUGAAAACUCGAGGCUCAACCUCGAGAUGUCGGCGGAAACCGUCUGGCUAGAGUCCGGAAGAGGAGAGUGGAAUUCCUGGUGUAGCGGUGAAAUGCGUAGAGAUCAGGAGGAACACCCGUGGCGAAGGCGGCCCUCUGGCUCGACCCUGACGCUGAGAGGCGAAAGCGUGGGGAGCGAACGGG